AACUAACGCUGGCGGCGUGCCUAACACAUGCAAGUCGAACGAGAAAGUUGGCUUCGGCCGAUGAGUAAAGUGGCGCACGGGUGAGUAACGCGUGGAUAAUCUGCCCUUUAGUUUGGAAUAACGUACCGAAAGGUGCGCUAAUACCGGAUAAUACUGAAUGACUACUGUCGUUUAGUCAAAGAAGGCUUCUGUUUACAUGCUUUUGCUGAAGGAUGAGUCCGCGUACCAUUAGCUAGUUGGUAGGGUAAUGGCCUACCAAGGCGACGAUGGUUAGCUGGUCUGAGAGGAUGAUCAGCCACACUGGAACUGAGACACGGUCCAGACUCCUACGGGAGGCAGCAGUGAGGAAUAUUGCGCAAUGGGGGCAACCCUGACGCAGCAACGCCGCGUGAGUGAGGAAGGUUUUCGGACCGUAAAGCUCUGUCGAGCGGGAAGAAAUGCAUGGUGCUAAUAUCCAUCAUGCUUGACGGUACCGCUAAAGG
rnacentral:rRNA from 1 species